UGGAACUGUGAUUGUGAGGACUCCAUCUUCAUAUCCAGCUGAAAUCCCAUCGACAUCGAUCCUAGCCGGAAGCCUGAACUUCCUCCUGAAGCUCCUAGCAGGCUCCGUGGACUCAUCAAUGGCCUCUGUUCGAAUUAUGAGAGGUUUAUAUGGGGAUAUGCUUGUGGUGGCCAAGCAAGGUAGCAGCACAGGGAAUGCUGAAGAAGAUGAACAAGGUUGUCAGGUUGACCUCUUUAUAGCCCAAUUUGGCCAAUUUGUGGGGACAAAGUACAACUUGGCUGCUAAUUGCUACACAUUAUCUUUGAACUGAUUUUUUUUUCUUUAUUUAUUUAUUUUGUUGUCAUUGUUAAAUGAUAUAUAUGCCCUUCUCUGGUGGGCUACUAUGUAAAUGGAAGUCAGAUUAAACUUGGAAGCCAAAAAAGAGGGAAAAAAAAAAAAUUUCAGAUUAAACUUUUA